rnacentral:rRNA from 1 species
AGCGAACGCUGGCGGCAGGCCUAACACAUGCAAGUCGAACGAACUCUUCGGAGUUAGUGGCGGACGGGUGAGGAACACGUGGGAACGUGCCUUUAGGUUCGGUAUAACUCAGGGAAACUUGUGCUAAUACCGAAUGUGCCCUUCGGGGGAAAGAUUUGUCGCCGUUAGGGCGGCCCGCGUCUGAUUAGCUAGUUGGUGAGGUAAAGGCGCACCAAGGCCACGAUCGGGAGCUGGUCAGAGAGGAUGGUCAGCCACACUGGUACGGAGAUACGGCCCAAACUCCAACGGGAGGCAGCAGUGGGGAAGGUUGCACAAUGGGCGGAAGCCUGAUGCAGCAACGCCGCGUGGGGGAAGACGGCCUUCGGGUUGGAAACCGCAUUCCCCUGAGACGAAGCGUGAGUGACGGUAAUCGGUAAAGAAGCACCGGCUAACUACGUG